rnacentral:rRNA from 1 species
ACACGUAGGGGGCGAGCGUUGUCCGGAAUGAUUGGGCGUAAAGGGCGCGUAGGCGGCCGCUUAAGUCUGGAGUGAAAGUCCUGUUUUCAAGAUGGGAAUUGCUUUGGAUACUGGGGGGCUUGAGUGCAGGAGAGGUUAUCGGAAUUCCCGGUGUAGCGGUGAAAUGCGUAGAGAUCGGGAGGAACACCAGUGGCGAAGGCGGGUAACUGGACUGCAACUGACGCUGAGGCGCGAAAGUGUGGGGAGCAAACAGGAUUAGAUACCCUGGUAGUCCACACUGUAAACGAUGAAUGCUAGGUGUAAGAGGUAUCGACCCCUUUUGUGCCGGAGUCAACACAAUAAGCAUUCCGCCUGGGGAGUACGGCCGCAAGGUUGAAACUCAAAUGAAUUGACGGGG